GAUGAACGCUGGCGGCGUGCCUAAUACAUGCAAGUCGAGCGAACGGACGAGAAGCUUGCUUCUCUGAUGUUAGCGGCGGACGGGUGAGUAACACGUGGAUAACCUACCUAUACGACUGGGAUAACUUCGGGAAACCGGAGCUAAUACCGGAUAAUAUUUUGAACCGCAUGGUUCAAAAGUGAAAGACGGUCUUGCUGUCACUUAUAGAUGGAUCCGCGCUGCAUUAGCUAGUUGGUAAGGUAACGGCUUACCAAGGCAACGAGGCAUAGCCGACCUGAGAGGGUGAUCGGCCACACGGGAACUGAGACACGGUCCAGACUCCGACGGGAGGCAGCAGUAGAGAAUCUUCCGCAAUGGGCGAAAGCCUGACGGAGCAACGCCGCGUGAGUGAUGAAGGUCUUCGGAUCGUAAAACUCUGUUGUUAGGGAAGAACAUAUGUGUAAGUAACUGUGCACAUCUUGACGGUACCUAAUCAGAAAGCCACGGCUAACUACGUG
rnacentral:rRNA from 1 species